CAAUAGCGUAUAUUACAGUUGUUGCAGUUAAAAAGCUCGUAGUUGAAUUUUUGCUUGCCGCCGAUGUCGGAACUUCCGUACGUUCGGCGGCGUGCAUCCUUGGGUGGAACCUGUGUGGCAUUAGGUUGUCGUGCAGGGGAUGCUCAUCGUUUACUGUGAAAAAAUUAGAGUGUUCAAAGCAGGCUUACGCCGUUGAAUAUAUUAGCAUGGAAUAAUAAGAUAGGACCUUGGUACUAUUUUGUUGGUUUGCGCACCGAGGUAAUGAUUAACAGGGACAGUUGGGGGUAUUCGUAUUCCAUUGUCAGAGGUGAAAUUCUUGGAUUUCUGGAAGACGAACUACUGCGAAAGCAUUUACCAAGGAUGUUUUCAUUAA
rnacentral:rRNA from 1 species